GAUGAACGCUGACAGAAUGCUUAACACAUGCAAGUCAUUGGCGAAGCUGCGCUUGCGCAGUCUAGCCAAGGCGGACGGGUGAGUAACGCGUAAGGAACUUGCCCUGCAGACAGGGAUAACAGACGGAAACGACUGAUAACACCUGGUAUUGUCAGGCUGGCGCAUGCCGGCCUGAUGAAAGGAGACGCUGCAGGAGAGCCUUGCGUCCUAUUAGCUAGUUGGUGGGGUAACGGCCCACCAAGGCGAUGAUAGGUAGCCGGCCUGAGAGGGUGAACGGCCACAAGGGGACUGAGAUACGGCCCUUACUCCUACGGGAGGCAGCAGUGGAGAAUAUUGGACAAUGGGGGCAACCCUGAUCCAGCAAUUCUGUGUGCACGAAGAAGGUUUUCGGAUUGUAAAGUGCUUUCAGCAGGGAAGAAGAAAGUGACGGUACCUGCAGAAGAAGCGACGGCUAAAUACGUG
rnacentral:rRNA from 1 species